CCUCCCUUCGUAUGACUUGGAGGUAAUGGCGGUGGGGUGGGCAAACGUGCUCACCAGGGUAUCAGUGCUCUGGAAACUGCACCUCUCCCUUGGGCAAUUCCAUUACUCAAAAAGUGCACAGAGAAAUGCCACCAGUGUCCCCAACCCUAUUCCUCUUCAGCUCAGUGGAACGAUCGAUCUAGAUUCCUGAAUGUUUCCUGUCAACUUGAGUGAGUAAGCACUCCAGGUUUGGUGAGGAUGAGGCCGAGGAGGGGAGAAACUGCCUCUUUAGGUUUCCUGUUGGCUAGCCACAAACUUCACAGGCCUCCUGAUUGGAGGAUGAAGUCACUGAUGUAGCGUGAGCUCAUGAUAGGACCAUUGCCUAUCUUAUUCUGAGUGGCCCAGUAUUUUUAGACUUUGAGCAUUUGGCAUUGAAAGAAAUGUGUGUCAUUGCACAAUGAAUGCUCUCCCUGACACAUGUUCAGCAACAGAAGGAAGCCUGUCGCUCAGCAUCUGCCCACAUCUCCAGCUCUGGAGCCUGGAAAAUUUUAUGGUGGUAAUAACUCUGGAUGCUGUUUUAGGAUCACAUCUGAGGAGGAGAGAUUGGAAGGUACCUGCAUCCAGGUAUUUUCAUGGAACUUUCAGAAUAAAAAGAAUUUUCUUCUGGACUUUUUUUUCCCCCUGUAAAAAUUAAACUUGACACAGGGUCUCACGGAGUUGCUUGGUGCCUCGCCAUUGCUGAGACUGGCUUUGAACUCGCGAUCCUCCAGCCUCAGCCUCCACAGCUGCUGGAAUUAUAGUCAUGGGCCACUGCCCCUGGCUCUGGCAGGGAUUGAACCCAGGACGGUCACCGUUGCAGGAAGCCAGCUAGACAAGCAGCAACAAGUGGCACUCGGAAAGACUGAGAACUCAUGCUUCAUUUUACUCCAGCCGGCACAGAGGGGAACAAACUCUAAAUUCUGAGCGCUGGCCCAUAGUUUCUCAUAACAUUUAUAGGCAAUUUUGUGCCAUAAAAUUUCUAGUCUACAUGACAGGAGGCCUUGUGUGGGGUUUCUAGUGGGAAGUGUGUUUACAGAAGCAAAAAAGCGAUAAGAGGAACUGGCUCUUUGCACAGGCAUAAAUAAAUCUUUGGCCUUGUGUCUGAAGCCUGGUCCAGGGGUGUUUACGUUUCAAAAGAGAGUAGUCAGAUUCCUAGAGACAGUUAUUUACAAUCCAAAUGGUAGGGACCUAUGGUUAAUUAGGUUUCCUGAAGAAAGGCUGACAGAAGGGUGGUGGUGGUGGUGGAGGGAACUCUGACCCUUUCCCAGGCUUUCUUUCUCAUGAUAACAUUCUUGUGAUUUCAUUUUACAACCAGGUCUGGUUUUGCUAUCUCAUAACCACUGAGCUACAUCCCCAGCCCUUUUUAUUUUAUUUUGAGACAGACUCUUCCUAAAUUCCCUAGGGCCUCACUAAAUUUUUUGAGGCUUGUUUUGAGCUUGCAAUCCUCCUGCCUCAGCCUCCUGAACCACUGGAAUUCAGGCAUGUGCUACCAAGUCCAGCUAUGAGACCCUGUUUCAAAAUAAAAAAAUAAAGGGCUGGGGAUGUAGCUCAGUUGUAUAGCAUGCCUGGGCUCAAUCCCAAAUGAUGUAAGAAACAGUGAAAAAUCAGACCCACAAGCUUAUGUUAGAAUAACAAAUAUUUGGGUUUAGAGUUUUGGAGUCACUAGUGGUUUACCUGGUAACUACAAACAACAACAGCAAAAUAAUAUAAUUAGUAAAGAAAAAUUUAAAAACCUGGGCUGGAGAUAUAGCUCGGUUGGUAGAGUGCUUUCCCCAAUGCACAAGGCCCUGGGUUCAAAAAAAAAAAGUGCUCGACUUUUUCCUCUUUCUUUCCCAAACUCAGCCUUAGACAUUAGUACUGGCUCUUCUAGUAAAUAAUGUGAAAGUUUAAACAUCUUAAUUGGCUUUAUUCAGUAUUCUAGUAUUUACCAACACUUCAUUCCUCAAAGCAAGAUGAGAUGAGCUGGGUUGAACAAAGCAGAAAUUCAGAACAAAAAGUAUAUUGGAGGUGCUGAGGUUGUGGCUCAGCGGUAGAGUGCUUGCCUAGCAUGUGUGAGGCCCUGGGCUUGAUCCUUAGCACCACAUAAAAUAAACGAAAGUUUAAAUAAAAUAAAACUAAAAAUUAAAUCGGUCAUUUCAAAGUUAUUUUCCUUGUAACAUUGGGAUAGGGAGAGAGAACAAUAGAAGAGUAACUGGUUAAUAUUGGGUUAGUUCAGGUUACUUUUUUGGAAAGGAUUACAACGGAGGGAAUUUUUACUGGAGGGAAUUUUUACUGACGUGCAAAUAAAAACUGGUCUGUUUGUAAAAUUUAGCUUUUAUCUGUCUCCUGAUUUCUCAGAGGGCCAGGUAACAACUAAGUUUAGGUUUGAUGAGGUGGAACCUCAGCCUGAGUGGCUCCCUUCUGAUUUUUAGUCUAGUCUGAUUUUUAGCCUAGUAUACAGCUCAGUUCAAAACAGUGGCCUCUGGUAAUUUUUAUUUAACAAAUCAAUAUUGUAGAGAUUUCUCUUUUAUACAAUAUAACUGACCUCAAUUUAUUAACAUAACCACUGAG